ensembl:lncRNA
GCACAUCCUGCAUCAACUCGUGACCACCAGAGCUUCUUGGACACGAUGCUGCCCUUGUACCCCUGCUGGUUCCUGUUUGGGUUUCCUACCUACCCCUUCAGCUGAGUUUCUUCCUAUUCUUUCAGCCCUUCCUCCCUGACUGUUCCACCUGCCUGCAGUCUGAUUGCAGCAAUGAGAAUCAGCUGCCAUAAUUGGCUCACCACCAGUCACCUGUUUGCAAUUCCACCUCCCAGCAUAUAAGCCAGCUCUGUCAUUCACUCCCUGCUCCACCAUGGAUGCGCACAUCCUGCAUCAACUCGUGACCACCAGAGCUUCUUGGACACGAUGCUGCCCUUGUACCCCUGCCGGUUCCUGUUUGGGUUUCCUACCUACCCCUUCAGCUGAGUUUCUUCCUAUUACCAUCUGCUACAAAGCAUUACUGGGUAACAGAUACACCUAAUGAAGAUCAGAAAUAUUCAAGCAGAAACCUUCAGCUUCCAUGAAGAUUGAAAUCAUUCUGCCAUGAAGACCUAACAACCUUCAAAGACAAAUUGAAAAUGGGAAGAAGUGCUGCGGAGCGCUGCGUCACCCUGCGGAGCGCUGCGUCACCCUGCGGAGCGCUG